rnacentral:misc_RNA from 1 species
CUUGGACGACAUUGGCGGAAGCAACAGGAGCAGCCUCUCGAGGAACGGUAGUGGAACCGGCAGCAGUGGCAUGACAACAAGCAUCACUUGAAAACAACGUCGCUUUUUUCGAAGUUGGGGCCAUUGUAAAGGAUUCUUGAGCUUGCCAAUUCCACAACAAUAAGUUUCAACACAAUCCACUGACAUACAGCAAAGAUCACUGGCGCUUGCCUUCUCUGUUUCUCCUCCGCCACCACAAACACAACACAGCUACUCUUCUCUUCUUCUCUUCGCCUCUCCACAAUCAACAAAAGCCCAAAAUGAAUGACAGAAAAAUCAAACGAAAAGGAGUUGAUCCUUUCCCCUUCAAUCUAGGGUUUCACCUCGAAACAGAUCGGAAAAAUCGAAACGAGACGAUCUCUCAAAAGAGGGAGAAAAUCCCAAUUUAGAGCACCUGAAUCCGAG